GGAAUUUUCCGCAAUGGGCGAAAGCCUGACGGAGCAACGCCGCGUGGGGGAAGAAGGUUUUUGGAUUGUAAACCCCUUUUCUCAAGGAAGAACAAAAUGACGGUACUUGAGGAAUCAGCCUCGGCUAACUCCGUGCCAGCAGCCGCGGUAAUACGGAGGAGGCAAGCGUUAUCCGGAAUUAUUGGGCGUAAAGCGUUCGUAGGCGGCUGUUCAAGUCUGCUGUCAAAGACCGAGGCUCAACCUCGGGUAGGCAGUGGAAACUGGAUAGCUAGAGGUCGGUAGGGGCAGAGGGAAUUCCCAGUGUAGCGGUGAAAUGCGUAGAUAUCGGGAAGAACACCGGUGGCGAAGGCGCCUUACUGGGCCAUAACUGACACUGAGGGACGAAAGCUAGGGGAGCG
rnacentral:rRNA from 1 species